AGUGAACGCUGGCGGCGGGCCUAACACAUGCAAGUCGAGCGGCAGCGCGGGGGCAACCCUGGCGGCGAGAGGCGGAAGGGUGAGGAUUUCGUCUGAAUCUGCCUUCUUGUGGGGGAUAACGUAGGGAAACUUACGCUAAUACCGCAUACGUCCUACGGGAGCUAGUUGGGGGCGGUAAGAACUCACGCACAAAUAUGAGCCGACGACCGAUUAGCUAGUUUGUGGGGUAAAGACCCACUAAGCCGACGAUCGGUAGCUAGUCUGAGAGGAGGAUCAGCCGCACUGGGACUGAGACACGGCCCAAGGUCCUACGGGAGGCAGCAGACUGGAAUAGGGGACAGUGGGCGCAAGCCUGAUCCAGCCAUGCCGAGUGUGUUAAAAAGACCUUCGGGUUGUGAAGCACUUUUGUCCGUAAAAAAAUCCCUGGAGCUAAUACCUACGGGGGAUGACGGUACCGGAAGAAUAAGCACCGGCUAACUUCGUG
rnacentral:rRNA from 1 species